UAGUUUUGACACUCGAUGUAUGUUGGAAUGGAUUCGGAGCAGAAGCUGAUGGGUCAUGAUUAUUAUCACCAAAGCUUAUGCUGAGUCCUUGGCUAGAGUGGCUCUUACACCAAGCUACAGUGAUCAAAAUUUGUUGGAUAGGACUAUUUUGUAGACAUUGGAGACUGAAUUUUGUGUUGAAAGGGCAAGGUUUAAACGCAAGCAUUUUUGAUUAUCUAGAACAUGAGGAAUAUGACACAUUUAUU